rnacentral:rRNA from 1 species
AUUGAACGCUGGCGGCAGGCCUAACACAUGCAAGUCAAGCGGGGUUUUCGGACCUAGCGGCGGACGGGUGAGUAAUGCGUAGGAAGCUGCCCGAUAGAGGGGGAUACCAGUUGGAAACGACUGUUAAUACCGCAUAAUGUCUACGGACCAAAGUGUGGACCUUCGGGCCACAUGCUCUCGGAUGCGCCUACGUGGGAUUAGCUAGUUGGUGAGGUAAUGGCUCACCAAGGCGACGAUCUCUAGCUGGUUUGAGAGGAUGAUCAGCCACACUGGAACUGAGACACGGUCCAGACGCCUACGGGAGGCAGCAGUGGGGAAUAUUGGACAAUGGGCGCAAGCCUGAUCCAGCCAUGCCGCGUGUGUGAAGAAGGCCUUCGGGUUGUAAAGCACUUUCAGCGAGGAGGAAGGGUGGUGUGUUAAUAGCGCAUCAUUUUGACGUUACUCGCAGAAGAAGCACCGGCUAACUCUGUGCCAGCCGCCGCGGUAACAC